GUCUGUGCGUUUCCAUUUGAGUAUCCUGAAAACGGGCUUUUCAGCAUGGUGCGUACAAGUAAAAUUAUAGGAGUGCAUAGUGGCCCGUAUAGCAGGCAUUAACAUUCCUGAU
rfam:Kluyvera intestini strain GT-16 tig00000000, whole genome shotgun sequence.